AAAAAAAAAAUAUGCACAGAUUCUGGGAUUUUCUUUUAAAAUAUACAAGGAUAUGUGGAGUCGACAUAUGAGAGAUUUUUGGCUUAGACUGCUGCAUCUUCUCGUAUCAAUCACUGGAGUCUAUAACUAUGAAUUCAAAACUUAUAUUUGUCUGGGUGAGGCAGCGGAAUUCCUCAACACAGAAGAUUUAGUAUGCAAAAGUACACUAGGAAAAGUAAUGGAGUGGUAAACAAGUAAAU